rnacentral:lncRNA from 1 species
AGAAAGUCCAGGAUGUACACGCUUCGCAUUGAAUUUGCUUGCAUUUCUUUUUUUUUUUUUUUUUUGGAUAAAAUUUAAGUUGCAACGUUGAGCGAUGUUUGAAAUAGAAUUUUAACAGUUUCUUCUUACUGUUUUGCAUCCUAAGAUGGAGUAAGCCCAUUUUUGGAUACUGUAAUGGAGCAUAGUUACGGAGACGCUCCAUUGAUUCUUUAGUCUUCUUUCACGUUUCAAUUCCGUAAACAAUUGUGCGGAUGACGACGUAUAUAACAGAUACUACCUAAGCAGGUCCGCACUGGGUCCGUCCACGCGAAAGAUAACACGCUGGAUGCACAUGUCUGGCACUCCACCCUUCCGUCGACUAUCGGGGGAGGGUUUCCCCGGGCAGACUACCACCUCUAUUGUCCGUCGUUUCCUGGACGGAUCCACGGCCCGUUCCCUCGUAAAAUGAUCAGGAAGUUAACAAUUGACCGUCUGCUUGCCCAACCACCUGCUCCUUGUCUGUUUAUCGGUGGGGGUGGUGGCUCUCCGGGCACGGCGGCGGCGACUCUUUUUUCCUCCUGUCGGAACGGAAGUGACGUAACGGCAGUGACGCCUCCAGCUUCGAAUUAUCCUGUAAUUUUGCUGAAGAUGACGGGUUGGAGAUUCUUUUGACGACUGUAAUUAAAAUGGUUCCGCAGCAGCGAUUUCCGCCAUUCGAAGAGAUGGCUGAAGAGCCAUUCCCAUAAUGGUAUAUUACGUCUUAUUCGAGAGAUCCGUGGACAGAAAGGCUAACCUGUUCUCGUUUGGACGAAUAAUGGAUGUUCGUGUCCGAAUUGGUUCACUGACCAUGUCCCGACUAAAGUCGCUGUGGAGUUUUUAGGAACUGCACUUGUCACACAUGAUCGCCAGAAUGUGGCAAAUCUUUUGUAGCAGGCCAUCCAUAAAAUGCCUUUUCUUCUCUACCCGAUUCACCCCUUCUAGCCCGACUAUCGUCGAAAAUAGCCCGGAGCCGUUUAAACGCCCCUCCUUUCGACGUCUAAGCUAGUCUAUUAUAAUUAGAACCCUGUUUGGUUAGAAAACGGGUCUUCGGUCUUUUUCUUUCGUCACCGAAAAUAGCGAAAAUUCUGGAGCUUGGAAACUUAGUUUCAAUUAUGCCAAAGGCUCCUGUUUUUAAGUAUCUGACCAGAAAAGUAGGGUCAAUGAUGUGUAGACAACAAAAUAUUUUGUAAUCUAACUUCUUCCCCUCGUUCGGACGUUUAAUCCGGACGAAGUAAUCUCUAAAGGUCACUUACCCUGCCCGAGCUGCCCUUGACUUUCCAUUUAGUGUGAUGUUCCAGCACAUGCAUCCGACUUCCGUUGUUCAGGUCUGUUUGUUCCGACUUUCUACACGGCUGUUCAACAGGAAAGUUCAAUCUUCUGUUUGUAGAAGUCACCAUGCUUCAGACGAUAAUGGUUGACUGCAACCUGUAAUUAUCUUCGGGCCGAACUGAUUCAGCCUUUCCAUAAAGUUAUCUACGAAAAAAGACUCGUUUCUCGUUUGGGAAUAUCUAACGAAAUGAAGGGUAAAUCGGAACGGGCAAGGGUUUAACUUAAGAGUUUUCUCCAAGAGUUAUAUCGAAUUUUAAGAAACGGAAUCCCACUGAAAGAGUGUGCAUUUCCUGAAUUUGUCAACGCAUGCGAAUGUAACGAAAGGAUUCUUAUCGUAACUGACGCGUUGGAAGUCAAUUAGAGCGACAAUCGGCGUUCGAAUUAUCUAAUGGAGUGUUGAAAAUGUUGAUGGCAGCGCAAUGCAUUCUGGGAAGCAGCGCUGUGGAAGCGGCGACAGGUGAUGUGGUCACUGACUCGGCUGGCUGCAGGUGCAAUGACUGCUGGUGAGUGGACCAAUCAGAGAAACCCGCCACACAUUUAAUUGCAGGAGAAACGGAAAAGGAGAGAUUUGCCACGAGAACGGGCGCCGGAUGAGUUCUUACCUUGACAUUGUGUCGAUAUUUAAGCCAAACUGUGGCUAGGAAUAGGUAAGCCACAUUCCCUCUUCUGCUUUGGUCUCGGACGUGUGUAAGUGUGUCGACCGAAUGGACCCGGGUACUAACCGACGUUCGGAUACCAGACGAUAAAGUAACAUAGUAACGUGACUGCACCGGGAUAACCGCGAAGGGCAGUACAGGUAGGCCUAUUGUGUGUCGGUUGUCUCCGACGCGGACGCGUCUGCCAUUAAAACGCGUCUCGGACGCUCCCUCUUUUUUUUUUUCGAUAGUAUUAGUUCGAGCAUUUUUUUUUUUUACGGUCGGACCUCACGCCUCGUAGAGUGAAAACGGCCCGGUGGUCGCGUUGUUUAUAGUCGAAUCUGUCUGUACCGUUU